rnacentral:rRNA from 1 species
ACUGAAUAGAUACCCGGGUAGUCCCAGCCGUAAACGAUGCUCGCUAGGUGUCAGGCAUGGCGCGACCGUGUCUGGUGCCGCAGGGAAGCCGUGAAGCGAGCCACCUGGGAAGUACGGCCGCAAGGCUGAAACUUAAAGGAAUUGGCGGGGGAGCACAACAACGGGUGGAGCCUGCGGUUUAAUUGGACUCAACGCCGGACAACUCACCGGGGGCGACAGCAAUAUGUAGGCCAAGCUGAAGACUUUGCCUGAAUCGCUGAGAGGAGGUGCAUGGCCGUCGCCAGUUCGUACUGUGAAGCAUCCUGUUAAGUCAGGCAACGAGCGAGACCCGUGCCCACUGUUACCAGCAUGUCCUCCGGGACGAUGGGUACUCUGUGGGGACCGCCGAUGUUAAAUCGGAGGAAGGUGCGGGCCACGGUAGGUCAGUAUGCCCCGAAUCUCCCGGGCUACACGCGGGCUACAAUGGAUGGGACAAUGGGUCCCUCCCCUGAAAAGGGCUGGUAAUCUCACAAACCCAUUCGUAGUUCGGAUCGAGGGCUGUAAC